CCCGGGCUAGGCGCGGGCGCAUGCCGGUAGAUCGCGGGUAUUUAUAUGCACGGGGGUAGCGGGUCUCCGUCGUCGUUGUGGUUCUCAUCGGCCGACACCGGAAACCGAGGGGUGUGGUGUGCAACGGAGAGAGGGAGGCGAGAGGUAGUCCAUUGUAUAGGUACGUUUUAACGUUUGGUGUUACGCUCAAGUAAAUAGUCUACACGUCCGCUCUGUGACCUAAUAGUCUACACGCACCGAUCUUGCGGGACACUUAAAUCGUUGGCUACAUUAGAAAAAUAAAAACCAAAACGAUUAAGGGUGAGUUGAGGCAUGUUCUAAGGUGUUAAAAUACUCGAAGACACAUAAUAAGAAAACUUACUAUGAAUGCAUUAGUGGAGAAAAGUAUUUUUUUGUUCUUUGCAAUAUACACGUUCUCAAAACCUCUAAAAUCUUAGCGCCCAUUCAAACAACGAAGCUCAACUUCUAAAUGUGGCCGUUUUCUGUUCUACAUGUGUCUUUCGAAAUUCGUGAUUAAUUCGGAAUCACUUAUAGAUGUGAUCAUUCAAAAAGAAGUACAACCUUUACGAAUCGUGACAUCUAUGAGGGAUUCCGAACCCACCAUAACGCAACACACCGGUGAACUAGUUGAAACCGGAGGGCAGCCAUCACAUAUCUAAGUUCCUUUUAUCCAUAUACGUUUCCAUGGACACACGAUGAACUAAGUGGAAAAAAGAGCUGUCCAUGUACUUCCUUAUACCAACGAUGGAAGUAUACGUACGAUGAUAAAUAAACAAAACAAAAAUAUUGCCACGUUUAAGAACAGAUACCAAUUUCAUUUAGUCGUGAUUUAACUACCGUUUAUUCCAGUACGGAAUGUUUUUUUAUUUGUCAAACAUUCGUCCACUCAGAUCUUUGACUGCGCUAAAGAUAAAAACUAAAACGAUUGACGGCCAGUUGAGUCUUAAAGCAUGUUCUGAGCUGUUGGUAUAUUCGAAUACAUAAGUGAUCGUGUAUACGGCCACGUAACGUUGCUUUUUUUUACUAUAAAACACAUUCGUAUUACAGGGUUUUAUAGUCUAAGUGACAUUUCCAGUACGACGUUACGUCAUAGAAAGAUGUUUUACUUAUAUUUUUUAUGUAGCGUUAAAUCGGCACAAGUAUAAAAGAAACAGCCUGUAUUAAAGGGUGACUAAAGUAAAUUCAUAUCAGGGAAAAAUUACCGUAAAUUCAUAUUAGGAAAGCAAUUAAUGGUACUUCAGGAGUUGGCAAAAUCAGCCCUUAGUCUAGGAAGGAAAAGAUUAAAUCAUCGGGGUUGUGUAACUUCGAAUGUCUAGAAAGAAAAUUAAUGGGAUGGAAAAAUGGAGUUUAGAAAGUACAUUUUAAAUAAUUCUAGUGUUAGAAAGAAAAUCAAUAAGGUGGCCAAAUUGGUAUCAGGAAAGAAAUUAAUCGGUGUAGGCAAAUUUAUAAGAUAAGUUCGGGUGUUAGGAAAGAAAUAAUCGAGUAAGCGAAUUAAUCGAGCAGGAUUUGUACUACUGAUGGUGAGCAUAUAAAUCUCGCUCAACCCUAAUCAUUUACACUUUCCACGUAUCCAGCAACCAACAAUGUAGUUUCUCGAUCUGUUAUCCUUUACACAAAUUAAAGAUGUUACAACUAAAUAAAACUGGGUUAAUAAAAAGCGCCGAAGAUAUUUUCGGUUAUUUUCCGGGUAGUUGCAUGUUCAUAGAUCGGGUUUAGCGUAUCGCACAUUUGGCUUGUUUCCUGAUUUGGUUUGGUUCUUAUGGAUAAGGGAAAUUAUCAUCCAUAUCUCCAUAGCUAAGGAAACCUUAUUAUGUCUCAAUAAACAAGCCUAGUUUCUUUAGUACUUUGUUAUGUGUCACCAAAAUCUCUAAAAUGUUACCACUUGAUUAAACUACGAAGCUCUCAAGUCUAUAUGUCUGUUUCGAAAUUUCCUCAACUCGGAAUCACUUAUAGAUGUGGUCAUUCAAAAAAAGAAGUACGGUCUUCAUGAAGUAUCACAUCUAUGAGGGAUUCCGAAUCACCGUAACGUAACAACACCGGUGUACAGUCAACUAGUAGAAAAUCGGAGGGUAGCACGUAUCCGUUACAUAUAUCGAGGUUUGUUUUCAUCCAAAUACGUUUGUCUACACACACGAUUAACUAAGCGGAAAAAAAGAACUGUUCAUGUAUGUGCGAUUGACAUGAUGAUAAAUAAUCAACAUAAAAAUCUUGGUAUGUUUAAAAGGAGAUACCUGCGAGCCGUUACCCGGUUCCGCCCUCAGUAUCCCAAUCGAUUAGAUAACGGACUCAUCAACCGAACGAACACAAACCCAACUCGUUGGGUACAGAAGACGAAGCCAGUAGUGGAUGUACGACCGAACGCGUGCACGAGAACACGUUGGUACGUUGGUAAGGAAAAUGGAGGACACUUAAUAGUAUACACUGAUCAUGCAGGGGAUUUAGGUCGUUUCUUACGUUAAAAUGAAAGACAAAACGAUUUACGGUGAGUUAAGGCAUGUUCUAAGGUAUUAAAAUACUCGAAUACAUAAAAAGAAACUUUUUUACUAUGUAUUAGUGAAGAAAAUUAUUUUUUGCUCUUUCUUAUACGUUAACAACACCUCUAAAAUCAUAUCGCUCAUUCAAACAACGAAUCUUGACUUCUGUAUGUGGCCGUUUCUGUUCUACAUGUGUAUUUCGAAAUUCGUGAUUUCGGAAUCACUUAUAGAUGUGAUCAUUCAAAAAGAAGUACAACCUUUAUGAAUUCUAACAUCUAUGAGGGAUUCCGAACCCACCAUAACGUAACACAUCGGUGAACUAGUUGAAACCGGAGGGCAGCCGUCAGAUAUCAUUUUCCUACACACACAAUGAACUAAGUUGAAAAAAGAGCUGUCCAUGUGCUUCCUUAUACAAACGAUCGAAGUAUACGAUGAUGAAUAAACAAAAUAAAAAUAUUGCUACAUUUAACAACAGUUACCAAUUUCAUUUAGUCAUAACUUAACGACCGUUUAUUCCACUACGGGAUGUUUUGUUGUUUGUAAAACGUUUGUCCACUUAAAUCUUUGCCUGCGUCAAAGAUAUAAGCUAAAACAAUUGCGGAUCAGUUGACUCUUAAAGCAUGUUCUGAGGUGUUAGUAUACUCGUAUACAUAAAGGAAACCUAUACCUUAAUUAAGAAACGUUGUUUCUUUAACAAUUUGUUAUGUGUCAUCAAAAUCUAUACAAUGUUACUACUUGAUCAGACAACGAAGCUCCCAACUCUACAUGAACGUUUCGAAAUUUCGUCAGCUCGGAAUCACGUAUAGAUGUGGACAUUCAAAAAAAGAAGUACGGUCUUUAUGAAUUGUCACAUCUAUGAGGGAUCCCGAACCACCAUAACGUAACAACACCGGUGUACAGUCAACUCGUAGAAACUCGGAGGGUAGCGGGUAGCCGUUACAUAUAUCGAGGUUCUUUUUCAUCCAAAUACGUUUUCGUACACACAAGACGAACUAAGCGGAAAAAAGAGCUGUUCAUGUAUAUAUGUACGAUUUACAUGAUGUGAAAUAAUAAACUUAAAAAUAUUGGUAUCUUUAAAAGUAGAUACGAGCGUUACCCGGUUCCGCUUUCGGUGUCCCAAUCGAUUAAAGGACGGACUUAUCAACCGAACGAACACAAAACAGACUCGUUGGGUACAGAAGACGAAGCCAGUAGAGGAUGUACAACCGAACGCGUCCACGAGAACACAUUGAUAAGGAACAUGAGGGAACACUUAAUAGUAUACAAUGAUUAUGCAGGACAUUUAAGUCGUUGACCACGUUAAAAAUAAAAACCAAAACGAUUAACGCUGAGUUGAGGCAUGUUCUAAGGUGUUAAAAUAAUCGCAGAUAUACAUUAGUGAAAAUUACCUUUUGGCUCUUUAUUAUACGUUAUCAACACCUCUAAAAUCUUAGCGCUCAUUCAAACAACGAAACCUGACUUCUAAAUGUGAUCGUUUUCUGUUCUACAUGCGUUUUUCGAAAUUCGUGAUUUCGGAAUCACUUAUAGAUGUGAUCAUUCAAAAAGAAGUACAACCUUUACGAAUCGUAACAUCUAUGAGGGAUUCCGAACCCACCAUAACGUAACAGCACCUGUGAACUAGUAGAAACCAGAGGGUAGCCGUCAGAUAUAGAGCUUCUUUUUAUCGACUACUCCUGUACUGAUAAUAUCAGUAUGGGUAUCGGGAACGAUGAAGCGUAUACCCUGGCUAAUGAUCUCGAGCACGCGCGGUUGCUUUAAUAGUCCUUACUUCCGGGAUUGUACCUAUUCUCCCUACUUGUAGCCUCGUACUAGUUCGUACCUCUACUUCCCCGUGCGAUUCCCGUGUUCUUGCCUCAAAGGUCACCUCUUAAGUCGUCAAACUUCGGUGGUACUACUGUAUACUCCUGUACCUGCUUGAUAUCUUCUACUGGAAAAUAUUUAAAACAGGUAUCGAACAAUAUACACAACACGGUGGAGUAAAAACGCGGUUCGGGAACAUUAAACUUUUCAUGAUGAAGUAUCCGACAAAAAUCUCAUACAUGACAUCCCUCUUGCUGAAUCCUCCCUAAAAUCGGGGUGGAACGGUUUCCACCUUUUUUUAAGUGAGAAGGGGGAUAUUUAUAUCGGGAGUCCCGCAGCAAAUGUGAACCCAAAACAAAUCUAAUUUCAAACGG
rnacentral:rRNA from 1 species